rnacentral:lncRNA from 1 species
UAUAAUUUAUUCUUCUAAUUUACUCCGUCCGCCAUAUGCAUUUUUGUACUGCGCCCCUCAAUUUGUAAUUAUUAAAAUCACAAAUUUUUAAAAAAUUAUUUUAAAAAAUAAAAUGGAGUGAUCCAAUUCCAAACUCCCUAUAGUUGAGGCGGUGUUCUCCAUACAUUUUUUUUUUUUUCAGCCAAAAAAGCGGAAACAAGAAGAGCCUCAGCCUCAUUCGUGUCUCUCGCGGCGAUUUGUAGAGAGAGAGAGAGCGCGAUCGAGAGCGCUAGGGUUUGUGAAGGAAAGGGGAAGGAGAUAACGCGUUCUCGGAUGCGAUACGGGGAUCGAUUCCCCCCUCGAGGUGAGUACUUAUUCCGAUUCAUCGCUUCUUAUUCCGCAUUUUGUCCGCGAUUCGCGUUUGCGUGUUCGUAUAAACGGGGAAUAAGGCGUAGGCGAUCGAGAUCGGAGCUCGAUCGAUGGUUCGAAUCGCCAUAUUUAGGGUUUAGGUGUAGCCCCCGCUGUGUCGUCCUUGAGGACGACGAUAAUGGCGCACGGUGGAGCCGCUGCGUUCCGUUUGACCGUUACUGUUACCGUUAAAGGUAACGGUUAACGGAACGGUGAACGGGAAACAGCCGGGGAUUGGUUCGCCGAUGCUUCUCGAAUCGCCGGGUUUUCUCUCGGGCGGGGUGACGGGGUUAGGGGUAUUUUGGACAUUUCGUAUUUAUUAUCUGUUUUUUAGUUUUUAUUUUUUUCCACUAAAAUUAGAAAUUACUAAGUAAUUUGGAGUGAAAUUUAAUCGUAAAAUGUUUAAAUUUAAUCGAUAAAAAUAACUUAUAAUUCUGAUGUUAAUUAAACAAAAAUAGCUGGAAAAUUGAUUCAAAAUAAUUUGUAGGGUCUCAGUAUGAUUAUUAUUAUUAUUUAUUUAUUUAAGGACGGAGAAUAGAAUGAGAAAACCACGUGCGAGCCACGUGGCAAAGUGUGUAAUGGAGUUGUGGCUGGAUUCGAGGGCACGUGGCAUGCGCAUGAGAGGAAUGUGUUUAACUUUAAAAUCAUUUUUUAAAAAAAGAGAGAAAAAUUAAUGCGUGAACAACAUUAUUGAUCAUCCAAUUUUAUGAUACUUUAUUUGGCUAUCGAAAUUUAAUAUUAAUCUAAUUGAGAUAUUAAUUUUGAAAUUUUAUUUUAACAAAAAUGCUAACCAUAUUUUUAUAUUAUUUUAAACUGCUGAAUUGAUUGGAAGCUUAUCUUAAGACAAAAAUUUAUAUAAAGACUAAAUAUUAUUAGUCUGAUUAAAAUAGAAAUUUAAGUUUAGUAACUAAUUGAAAUAACUUGAAGUUUGGUGGAAUGAUCUCAUUUGAAAUACAAUGACUAGCGGUAUAACAAUUUGUUCCAAAAUUUAUUUCCAAAACAACACUUAUUGGGUAUUUAUAAAAGAAAAUAACCAUUUGAGUAUGCUAUAUUUAAAUAUAAAUUUUACACAUUUUAAUUUAAGAGUUCAUAAAUUUUUUUAAUCUUUUAGUUGAUAAGAUUAGUAAAAAACUAAUAGUUCUUGAAUAAGUGGGAUGUAUAUUUUAUAUUUGAGUUAGUUUCAUAUAUGUUCCAGUAAAUAUAGUGAAUAACAAAUAUAAUCCUACAAAGUUCAACUUUCAUAUAUUGUUUCUGCAAAAGUCCUAAUAUUUUCAAACAUAUCCAUGCCGUUAGAAUCCGUAAGAAAAAGUUAGUUAACCAUAAAUUAAAUAUUUAAUUCUAGUUAGUUUUUCACAUUUUUAUUUCUUUAUAGUAUGCUAGUAUGGCUUUUGAAGAAAUAUAUUUGUGAUGGCAAAAUUGAAAAUAUAAACGGUUCUCUAGCGGUAACAAACCAAAGGGACAUAUUUAAAAAUAUUAGACCUUUCGUAAAGACAAUAUAUAAAAGUUAAAUUUUAUAGAAAUAUAUUUGUCAUUUAGUACGUUUCCAGAGACAUAUAUGAAAUUAACCUUUUAUAUUUAGUCAGCAAGUGUAAGAUAGUAUUGCUUUUCAUAAAAUAAUAUAAUAUAAUUUUUAGCCAUUUUAAUGGGAGGGUAUUGUGGGUUACUUCAUAAGAUUAUUAUUAUUAUUAUUAUUAUUAUUGAUUUGGCUAUAGAUGUUAUUAAAUAGCCGAUGUGACUACACAUCCGACUUAACAGUUGACAUAGAUUAAUUACAUAUUUUGCAUGAUCACAUAGGACAUGAUUUUUACUGUAGUAUAGAGCUACUAUAUUAUUGAAAGCAUAGAAUAUUUGAUGUUUUUAAUUUUUUGUCUCUUAAAUAAAAAAUUAUACGAUUGGAAUGAUUGCGGUUCUCUUAAGGUUGAGUAGUACCUCAGGGUUGAGUAGUUCCUACAAAAUUAUAGUAUUAAUCCAAAUGUUAAAAAUGAUCAAAAAGGUUGAUCUAAAGGCCAAAAAGUCGGAAGCACCAGAUGUUCUAUGCGUCCGAUAGCAUAGUAGCUCUACUUCUUACUACAAUAAAUUAUAAAGAUGAUGAUAUGACCAUAUACCUCACAUGUUUGCAUAUUUGGUAUUAAUAUUAAUGAUUUAUAUCAAGUUGCUAGGGAAAAUAGACUUUACUUUAAAAUCGAUCACGAUUUUUUCCUACAUGUUUUUGGUCGAAAUGUCUCAAGCAAAACAUGCCUGCUCUGGUACUGCCCAACUGUAACUUUGAGAAAAUUCAUAUGAUGCCUAUUCGUGUUAGAUCCAUCACAUUCAUCAAUGCUAUUUAAUUUGUAAAACUUUUAAAUAGGUUAUUACGCUAUUUGUUUCACAAGAUAUUGGUAAAGGUCUAUCUCAAUUAUUAUUAUUCUCGUACUCUUCGACAGCUACAUCAAAUUACGAUGAAUGUAAAAUUUAUGAGGCUGUUGAGCUAUUGGCGCAUACCUUAGAUGAUAUAGAUUAAAUAGUUACAUUACCAAACGAUGAUAUAGAUUAAAUAAAUACACUUUUGUAAGUUUAACACAUUUACUGACUGUAGGCAACAUCUCAUUGAAGGACUAAAAUGAUUUUUUUUAAAAACACGUUUAGAGAACACUGACGCUAACUGUGAAAGUUUGUGGACUAAAAUGAAAUAGAACUUAAAAAGUUUUGUCACUAAAUGUGGUUCAAUAUGUCCCUCUCAACUACGUACAGUCUAUAGUCAUAUUUAUUUACACUUGUGUAAUGUUUAGGAUUUUUUUUUCUUUUUCUUUUUUUUUAAAUAACAGUUGCUAUCAUUAUGAGUCAUUAAUAUGUUGGCCAAUUUGUAAAGCACUUUAAGAAUGGUUCUCUCAACCAAGCAAAGCUUUCUACAUUAUAGAUAAUCGUACAUUUAUAUGAGUCCGGUUAUUUUUAUUAUUAUAUUAUUGUUGGUACCAAACUCUUAGUAUUAUCAAAUUUUUUAUCGUUAGAUCUACUCUUUAAUCAUUUUUAUUAGUUAGAUUAUAUUAUUCAACCAACCGCUUACUCAACUCUAAGUGAUUACUAUCAUCCAAACUGCACAUUAUUUUAUCCGACGGCUGAAAAUUCGCUAGUACUAACCGCUUGGUACUAUUAAUAGUAUAAUAGCAUAAUUCCAUUUAUAAUAUCGAAAGAUGAUACCGCCCAGGACAUAAAGACAAUACUCUUGUUCAUAUGUAUCCUUCAAUUCAUCUAUAAUAUAUGUUGUUGUAUAUCACUAUGUUGUUGAUAUAUAAUAUAAUUUUUUAAUUAAUUAGUCCAUGUACUCUAAAAUUAUCAUACAAAAUUAUUAAUACAUUGAUAACAUACAAAGCCAAGCCAGAUAUAUCACAGAACACCUGAUUUACAUUUUCUUUAUUAUUUUCUUAUGCAGAAGUAAUGGUCAUAUGAUUCAUUGAUAUCCUACAAAACAAAGUUGACGCUGAUGAUGAUCCACUACACAAAGCCAAACCUCUCAAUCCCCACACCCACCAACAACACUCCAUAAUAGCCACCAAUCACCAUGGCUCAUCCUUCUCCUCCUCCUCCUCCUCCUCCUCCCAAAAAACGGCCCCACUCUCCUCACCACCACCACUACCACCACCACCCAUUUCUCCUGCUAUUCAUCAUCAUGUUCCUCGUCCCCGCAUUCCUCCUCUUCCUCCUCGUCCUCUACCACAAU